rnacentral:rRNA from 1 species
GAUGAACGCUGGCGGCGUGCCUAAUACAUGCAAGUCGAGCGAACGGACGAGAAGCUUGCUUCUCUGAUGUUAGCGGCGGACGGGUGAGUAACACGUGGAUAACCUACCUAUAAGACUGGGAUAACUUCGGGAAACCGGAGCUAAUACCGGAUAAUAUUUUGAACCGCAUGGUUCAAAAGUGAAAGACGGUCUUGCUGUCACUUAUAGCUGGAUCCGCGCUGCAUUAGCUAGUUGGUAAGGUAACGGCUUACCAAGGCAACGAUGCAUAGCCGACCGGAGAGGGGGAUCGGCCACACUGGAAGUGGGACACGGUCCAGACUCCUACGGGAGGCAGCAGUAGGGAAUCUUCCGCAAUGGGCGAAAGCCUGACGGAGCAACGCCGCGUGAGUGAUGAAGGUCUUCGGAUCGUAAAACUCUGUUAUUAGGGAAGAACAGAUGUGUAAGUAACUGUGCACAUCUUGACGGUACCUAAUCAGAAAGCCACGGCUAACUACGUG